UACGAAGGGGGGCUAGCGUUGCUCGGAUUGACUGGGCGUAAAGGGCGCGUAGGCGGAUAGUACAGUCAGGCGUGAAAUUCCUGGGCUCAACCUGGGGGCUGCGUUUGAUACGUAUUGUCUGGAGUUCGGAAGAGGGUCGUGGAAUUCCCAGUGUAGAGGUGAAAUUCGUAGAUAUUCGCAGGAACACCAGUGGCGAAGGCGGCUCACUGGUCCGAUACUGACGCUGAGGUGCGAAAGCGUGGGGAGCAACAGG
rnacentral:rRNA from 1 species